CCCUUAGAUGUUCUGGGCCGCACGCGCGCUACACUGAUGCAUUCAACGAGUUUUUCCUUGGCCGAGAGGCCUGGGCAAUCUUUUAAACGUGCAUCGUGAUAGGGAUAGAUUAUUGCAAUUAUUAAUCUUGAACGAGGAAUUCCUAGUAAACGCAGAUCAUCAAUCUGCAUUGAUUACGUCCCUGCCCUUUGUACACACCGCCCGUCGCACCUACCGAUUGAAUGGUCCGGUGAAGCCUCGGGAUUGUGGCGAGUUCCCUUUAUUGGGAGUUUGUCGCGAGGACUUGUCUAAACCUUAUCAUUUAGAGGAAGGUGAAGUCGUAACA
rnacentral:rRNA from 1 species